GACGAAGGAUGCAAGCGUUAUCCGGAUUCAUUGGGUUUAAAGGGAGCGUAGGCGGACUUGUAAGUCAGUGGUGAAAUCUGUGGGCUUAACCCACAAACUGCCAUUGAUACUGCAGGUCUAGAGUACAGUUGCCGUUGGCGGAAUAUGACAUGUAGUGGUGAAAUACUUAGAUAUGUCAUAGAACACCGAUUGCGAAGGCAGCUAACGAAGCUGUAACUGACGCUGAGGCUCGAAAGCGUGGGAAGCAAACAGG
rnacentral:rRNA from 1 species